rnacentral:rRNA from 1 species
AUUGAACGCUGGCGGCAUGCCUUACACAUGCAAGUCGAACGGUAACGGGCCUUCGGGUGCCGACGAGUGGCGAACGGGUGAGUAAUACAUCGGAACGUGCCCGAUCGUGGGGGAUAACGAGGCGAAAGCUUUGCUAAUACCGCAUACGAUCUACGGAUGAAAGCAGGGGACCGCAAGGCCUUGCGCGGACGGAGCGGCCGAUGGCAGAUUAGGUAGUUGGUGGGAUAAAAGCUUACCAAGCCGACGAUCUGUAGCUGGUCUGAGAGGAUGAUCAGCCACACUGGGACUGAGACACGGCCCAGACUCCUACGAGGGGCAGCAGUGGGGAAUUUUGGACAAUGGGCGCAAGCCUGAUCCAGCCAUGCCGCGUGCAGGAUGAAGGCCUUCGGGUUGUAAACUGCUUUUGUACGGAACGAAAAGCCUUCUUUUAAUACAGGAGGGUCAUGACGGUACCGUAAGAAUAAGCACCGGCUAACUACG